AGCCGAAAAUAAACAAACAGAAGUUUGUCCACAACCAAGGCACCUCCUUCCCCUCCAGUGAGAGUUGCUUUCACUGUAACUCACUCACUCAAAUGGAGCAACCCACUAAACCCACAUGCUUUCAUUUUAUGGAUCUGCUUUCCUAUAAUCACACACAGAUGCACAUUUUCCCUGGGACAAAGGCCAGUUUUCCCAUACAUGAGUGAUCCCCUGACCUGUGCUCUGCUGAGGGCUCUGGCUGUUCUGCAUCAGGAAUUCUGUUCCCUCCAACUCAAAAUUGCUCUUCCACCCUCAGCAUCAUCCCAUUGUCCCUGCAGUUUUUCUGUCUCUGCAUCUGCCUCCUGGCUGUUCUGCUUGGUACCAGCACUGCUGCCUGCAAUCACCGAAGCACCUGCACUGCAGAGCCUUCCCAAUCUCAUCUUCCUCAAUUCCUUUAAGGUGUGGAUGAAAUUCCUUACAAAUGAACUGUGUGGACUGACGCGAUGAGGCAAACAUGGGCUAAGCCACACAAAACUGCUGUGGUAAGCACCAGAAAAAGCCAAAGCAUUUUCAUUGGUGACCAAAAAAAAAGUAUGGCAAGGUGGAAGGUUGUAYGUUGGCCUCUGCUGUUCUGGCAUUAGAAAUUCACUUUACUUCAAAGGUUAAGGCAGUUAAUGCAUCUGCUGAAGAUCACAGGCUCUGACAGCCUGCCUGGAACGGCUCCAUCCGUGGCACGGCACGAGGGACAGCAUGUGCAGGGUGGCACUGAGCGAGCAGCAAACUCUGUGCACAGGGCAGAAAUGGCACACAUGGGUGUUAUCCAAACCAAACCUGAGCCUGGCAAAGCCCAAAAGAGCCUUUGUGCUGAGCAGCUCAGUGGUGCCAGGUAUUAAUGACACAGACAAGUCUCCAAGGAAAAGCCYGUUUGUUUUUCCAGCAGCACUACCCUUUCCUGUCCGUCUGCUCGUGGCACUGCCCCACAGACUGCAGCGGGUCUAGGGAUCAGCCAGGUCAAACCCCACUGGGUGAAUCCCUCAGGGUGUCAUAGGUGACAGACAAAACAUAAUUCAGAUGCCAGCACUGUAAAUUCCAAAUUCUUCCAUGGUGUAAACAGGGUAUCAGGUCAGUUUGGCUCAGUGRCUCUUAUCUUUUAAAGGCUGGAGUGGGUGACGCUGGUGACCAGGUCACAACCCGGGGACAGACUCAUGCUAGAUCCUGGGGACAGCUCCAGAGUGGAGUCCAGAGGCUGAGCAGUGCAGAACAGCCAAGGAAGCUCCUUCAACACUGGGCUCUCACUGACAGACUUGGAGACCUGGAGAUCGACCAUCUAAAUCUAACAGCUUGGUUCUGAAAGGUUUCCUGGGCAGUAAAGGAAAUGCUUCAAAGAAGGCUCUUAUGCUUCAAUUCUCACUUCAAGCCCUGCUUCUUGUACACUUCAAGCRUUUGGGGGGUUUUAGACAAGAGGUAUCUUUUAAUCUUUGGAUAUAAAUGGAGAAAAAAUAGUCAAAGUGGAAAGAAAUAAAAACAGUUGGUCACUUUU